rnacentral:rRNA from 1 species
CCUACGGGGGGCUGCAGUGGGGAAUAUUGCACAAUGGGCGCAAGCCUGAUGCAGCCAUGCCGCGUGUGUGAAGAAGGCCUUCGGGUUGUAAAGCACUUUCAGCGGGGAGGAAGGCGUUAAGGUUAAUAACCUUGUCGAUUGACGUUACCCGCAGAAGAAGCACCGGCUAACUCCGUGCCAGCAGCCGCGGUAAUACGGAGGGUGCAAGCGUUAAUCGGGAUUACUGGGCGUAAAGCGCACGCAGGCGGUCUGUCAAGUCGGAUGUGAAAUCCCCGGGCUCAACCUGGGAACUGCAUUCGAAACUGGCAGGCUAGAGGCUUGUAGAGGGGGGUAGAAUUCCAGGUGUAGCGGUGAAAUGCGUAGAGAUCUGGAGGAAUACCGGUGGCGAAGGCGGCCCCCUGGACAAAGACUGACGCUCAGGUGCGAAAGCGUGGGGAGCAAACAGGAUUAGAUACCCGAGUAGUC